rnacentral:rRNA from 1 species
GGGGAAUUGUUCGCAAUGGGCGCAAGCCUGACGACGCAACGCCGCGUGGAGGAUGAAGGUCUUCGGAUUGUAAACUCCUGUUGCCCGGGACGAAAAGCUUCGAUCUAACACGUCGAGGUCUGACGGUACCGGGUGAGGAAGCCCCGGCUAACUCUGUGCCAGCAGCCGCGGUAAUACAGAGGGGGCAAGCGUUGUUCGGAAUUACUGGGCGUAAAGGGCUCGUAGGCGGCCAACUAAGUCGGAUGUGAAAUCCCCAGGCUUAACCUGGGAACUGCAUCCGAUACUGGAUGGCUUGAAUCCGGGAGAGGGAUGCAGAAUUCCAGGUGUAGCGGUGAAAUGCGUAGAUAUCUGGAGGAAUACCGGUGGCGAAGGCGGCAUCCUGGACCGGCAUUGACGCUGAGGAGCGAAAGCUAGGGGAGCAAAC